UUAUUGAAGACAUUUCACAAAUCACAAGGAACUACCUUAAGUUAAAACCCAGUGUCAAAUGUUGACCACAUCGGAAGAACAGGUCUUCGAUUGAGGGUACUCUGCACGGAUCGUUGAUAUGACCAUGGUUCUUUGAUGGUCAGAUAUGGUCUCCGAGGGUCAGGUAGCAUAUUCCGAUCAGGUCUACGGAAGUUAUUGUUUGGUUAACAAAGUCUUCAGAUAGGCUAUUAACAGAGGUACCAAGAUUCAACAGAUCAUUUCUUCAAUACACACAAGGGCUCCAAAGAAAAGCAAAAGCAAAUAAUUUGAGUUGAAGGACUGGUGAGAAAAGUCCAAAGUCAGAU
rnacentral:lncRNA from 1 species